rnacentral:rRNA from 1 species
AGUGAACGCUGGCGGUAGGCCUAACACAUGCAAGUCGAACGGCAGCACAGUAAGAGCUUGCUCUUACGGGUGGCGAGUGGCGGACGGGUGAGGAAUACAUCGGAAUCUACUUUUUCGUGGGGGAUAACGUAAGGAAACUUACGCUAAUACCGCAUACGACCUACGGGUGAAAGCAGGGGAUCUUCGGACCUUGCGCGAUUGAAUGAGCCGAUGUCGGAUUAGCUAGUUGGCGGGGUAAAGGCCCACCAAGGCGACGAUCCGUAGCUGGUCUGAGAGGAUGAUCAGCCACACUGGAACUGAGACACGGUCCAGACUCCUACGGGAGGCAGCAGUGGGGAAUAUUGGACAAUGGGCGCAAGCCUGAUCCAGCCAUACCGCGUGGGUGAAGAAGGCCUUCGGGUUGUAAAGCCCUUUUGUUGGGAAAGAAAAGCAGCAGGUUAAUACCCCGCUGUUCGGACGGUACCCAAAGAAUAAGCACCGGCUAACUUCGG